CAGAACAAAUUGGAAUUGGCAAAAAAUGGAGAGAGAGGCUGUGGAACGAUAAUAGCUAAGGUUCUCAUGAUUGCCAGAAACUGUGGGAGAGCAGAAAAGGAAAAGUCAACAACGAAAUGAAAUGCUUCAAAUCAAGUGUUAUAAAAAAGGAAGCAUAAGCUGGCUGAAGCUGACCUAUUUUAUUUCUCCUCUUAAUUCACUUUUUGCUACAAAAAUUCCAAUAAAAAUGAAGCAGAACACGAAGAAGCAAUAAAUGUUUAUGUAACCGAGUGUGACAUAACAAGGCCACACUGCAGGGGGAGAAGGAGUGGAAGGAAGAGUUGGAUUUCCUGGAAACCUCUGGGCUAUUGAACCUGGGUGAUGUCUGAGAUUCCUUUAGCAUCAUAACACUAAAGUAAGAAAAUCUUCCCAUGUAAAGGAAAGGAUAACUUUUGGGUCUGUACAUGAUCUAGGGAAGGAGAGAGCAGGUAAAGUAAGUUUUCCGUGGAGGUAAGGUUAUAUGAAGGUGUUGCAGAAAUUCCUUGUAAGAGUCUAAAUUUUACUGUG